rnacentral:rRNA from 1 species
GCAUAUCAAUAAGCGGAGGAAAAGAAACCAACCGGGAUUGCCUCAGUAACGGCGAGUGAAGCGGCAAGAGCUCAAAUUUGAAAUCUGGCGCCUUCGGCGUCCGAGUUGUAAUUUGCAGAGGAUGCUUCGGAUACAGCCCCCGUCUAAGUGCCCUGGAACGGGCCGUCGGAGAGGGUGAGAAUCCCGUCUGGGACGGGGUGUCUGUGUCCGUGUGAAGCUCCUUCGACGAGUCGAGUUGUUUGGGAAUGCAGCUCUAAAUGGGUGGUAAAUUUCAUCUAAAGCUAAAUACUGGCCGGAGACCGAUAGCGCACAAGUAGAGUGAUCGAAAGAUGAAAAGCACUUUGAAAAGAGAGUUAAAAAGCACGUGAAAUUGUUGAAAGGGAAGCGCUUGCGACCAGACUCGCCUGCGGGGUUCAGCCGGCCUUCGGGCUGGUGUACUUCCCCGUGGGCGGGCCAGCGUCGGUUUGGACGGCCGGUCAAAGGCCCCCGGAAUGUAGCGCCCUUCGGGGCGCCUUAUAGCCGGGGGUGUAAUGCGGCCUGUCUGGACCGAGGAACGCGCUUCGGCACGGACGCUGGCAUAAUGGUCGUAAACGACCCGUCUUGAAACACGGACCAAGGAGUCUAACAUCUACGCGAGUGUUCGGGUGGCAAACCCGUGCGCGAAGUGAAAGCGAACGGAGGUGGGAGCCCCCUCGCGGGGCGCACCAUCGACCGAUCCUGAUGUCUUCGGAUGGAUUUGAGUAAGAGCGUAGCUGUGGGGACCCGAAAGAUGGUGAACUAUGCCUGAAUAGGGCGAAGCCAGAGGAAACUCUGGUGGAGGCUCGCAGCGGUUCUGACGUGCAAAUCGAUCGUCAAAUUUGGGUAUAGGGGCGAAAGACUAAUCGAACCAUCUAGUAGCUGGUCUG